rnacentral:rRNA from 1 species
UGCAGAAUCCCGUGAACCAUCGAGUCUUUGAACGCAAGUUGCGCCCGAAGCCUUUAGGCCGAGGGCACGCCUGCUUGGGCGUCA